CUCUGAAGCUGGCUCACAGCAGCACAAGCCGGUGUGCCCUGGCUGGGUUCCAUCUGGCAUCCUUCUCCAGCUUAUUGAGUGAGAAGAGGAAGUUCAUGGAAUCCAAUCCAAUCCAACCGACUUUGAUUGGAAAGCGUUUGUGGGUAACAACGCUGCACAACCAACCAGGAGGCCCAUGAAUGAACUGUUCUGCCUGCUGAGCUUGGUAGACGCUUUUUCUGAUGAGCAGAGAUUUUAACGAGUCCCGAGAUGAUUGUUUCCAGAAGACCACAUCUCAAGCAUUUGGAGCAAGUGAGCAUGUGGACCUGAGACUUCACUGCCCACUCGUGUCUCAGGCAGGAAGAGGAAACCUUGGAAUUGUUGCUGGUUUGCCUUCUGCUCUGGGCAAAUGGAUGAGACUAGAAAAUAUCACCAUGAGUGAGAUACCUCAAACCCCAAAGGACAUGCGUGGUAUGUACUCACUGAUAAGUGGAUAAUAGCCAAAAAGUACAGAAUUCCUAGGAUACAACUUACAGAUCAUAAGAAGUGUAACAAGCAGAA
rnacentral:lncRNA from 1 species